rnacentral:rRNA from 1 species
CGCGUAGGCGGUCCGGCAAGUUUCCCGUGAAAUCACUGGGCUCAACCCAGUGCCUGCGGGGAAAACUGCCGGGCUCGAGUGUGGGAGGGGUGCGUGGAAUUCCCGGUGUAGCGGUGAAAUGCGUAGAGAUCGGGAGGAACACCUGCGGCGAAAGCGGCGCACUGGACCACUACUGACGCUGAGGCGCGAAAGCUGGGGGAGCAAACAGGAUUAGAUACCCUGGUAGUCCCAGCCCUAAACCAUGAUGGCUUGGUGUGACCGGUACCCAAUCCGGCCGUGCCGCAGCUAACGCGAUAAGCCAUCCGCCUGGGGAGUACGGUCGCAAGGCUGAA